AUACCAUACUGGAAGAUUCCAAUCCAAGGGUGAAUACAGCAAAUAGCGGGUAGAAACCUCCUUUGAGACCAGUAACACAUAGGGUUAUUACAACUGUGACAGGUAAGGCUAAGAUGCUCAAGGUCAACACUUAAACUGUAAUGAACAAGGUCAUAUGAAGUGAUGCUUUGGUGGGAAUGUUUUGCUCAGCUCGGGGAAGGCGAGGUCACAGCCUCUGGGGAUGAAUGGGAGGGGACAGCAUAAGGCCGACGGAACAGACAAAGUAUGAGACACCAAGGUACAGACGUCAACGCAAGUACAAUGGACUAC